GCCCGUUUGGCUUAGUGGUACAGCGUCUCACUCGUAGAGUUCUAGGACAUGAGAAGAUCCUCGGUUCGAUUCCGAGAAUGGGCA
rnacentral:tRNA from 1 species